GUGGGGAAUUUUGGACAAUGGGCGCAAGCCUGAUCCAGCAAUGCCGCGUGCAGGAAGAAGGCCUUCGGGUUGUAAACUGCUUUUGUACGGAACGAAACGGUCCGGGUUAAUACCCUGGGCUAAUGACGGUACCGUAAGAAUAAGCACCGGCUAACUACGUGCCAGCAGCCGCGGUAAUACGUAGGGUGCAAGCGUUAAUCGGAAUUACUGGGCGUAAAGCGUGCGCAGGCGGUUUUGUAAGACAGGCGUGAAAUCCCCGGGCUCAGCCUGGGAAUUGCGCUUGUGACUGCAAGGCUGGAGUGCGGCAGAGGGGGAUGGAAUUCCGCGUGUAGCAGUGAAAUGCGUAGAUAUGCGGAGGAACACCGAUGGCGAAGGCAAUCCCCUGGGCCUGCACUGACGCUCAUGCACGAAAGCGUGGGGAGCAAACAGGAUUAGAAACCCUGGUAGUCC
rnacentral:rRNA from 1 species